AUUGAACGCUGGCGGCAUGCCUAACACAUGCAAGUCGAACGGCAGCAUGACCUAGCUUGCUAGGUUGAUGGCGAGUGGCGCACGGGUGAGUAAUGCGUAGGAAUAUGCCUUGAAGUGGGGGAUAACCUGGGGAAACUCAGGCUAAUACCGCAUGAGCUCUAAGGAGGAAAGCUGGGGACCGAAAGGCCUGGCGCUUCAAGAUUAGCCUACGUCCGAUUAGCUAGUUGGUAGGGUAAAGGCCUACCAAGGCGACGAUCGGUAGCUGGUCUGAGAGGAUGAUCAGCCUGACUGGGACUGAGACACGGCCCAGACUCCUACGGGAGGCAGCAGUGGGGAAUAUUGGACAAUGGGGGCAACCCUGAUCCCGCGAUGCCGCGUGUGUGAAGAAGGCCUGCGGGUUGUAAAGCACUUUCAGUGGGGAGGAGGACUUGGAGGUUAAGAGCUACUAAGUUGGACGUUACCCACAGAAGAAGCACCGGCUAACUCCGUGCCAGCCGCCGCCGUAA
rnacentral:rRNA from 1 species